AACGAACGCUGGCGGCAUGCCUAAUACAUGCAAGUCGAACGAGAUCUUCGGAUCUAGUGGCCCACGGGUGCGUAACGCGUGGGAAUCUGCCCUUGGGUUCGGAAUAACUUCUGGAAACGGAAGCUAAUACCGGAUGAUGACGUAAGUCCAAAGAUUUAUCGCCCAAGGAUGAGCCCGCGUAGGAUUAGGUAGUUGGUGAGGUAAAGGCUCACCAAGCCGACGAUCCUUAGCUGGUCUGAGAGGAUGAUCAGCCACACUGGGACUGAGACACGGCCCAGACUCCUACGGGAAGCAGCAGUAGGGAAUAUUGGACAAUGGGCGAAAGCCUGAUCCAGCAAUGCCGCGUGAGUGAUGAAGGCCUUAGGGUUGUAAAGCUCUUUUACCCGGGAUGAUAAUGACAGUACCGGGAGAAUAAGCUCCGGCUAACUCCGUG
rnacentral:rRNA from 1 species